UUAUGAUCCGCAUUCUCUAAAUUACGACUAUCCUGGAAGAGAUAGUGUAAUGCCCUUGAAAAGGCAAUGGAUAUCCAAAGAAAUAAAAAGCUUUUAUGCAUGCGCAUGCACAUGAGAAUAUGGGAUCACGGAUAACCAAUGGUAAUUUUGGUUCUUACAAGUAGCUACUAAAAUCAUCAAUGAGCUGUGUUGAUAUUGAGUCU
rnacentral:lncRNA from 1 species